rnacentral:tRNA from 1 species
GAAGGUACAGCUCAGGGGUAGAGCUCAUGCGUAACACGCACAAGGUCCUGGGUUCAAUCCCCAGUACCUCCA